ACCUGCCCAGGGACUACAGGUGGAAAUUAACAAUUGUUGCUAUAACCUGGCCCAAGACAUAUUCUCUGGUAUUACUAGUUUAAUAAUAUUUAUUUGUGGAG